rnacentral:rRNA from 1 species
UUGGUUAAGUUAGAAAGGGCGCACGGUGGAUGCCUUGGCACUAGGAGCCGAAGAAGGACGGGACUAACACCGAUAUGCUUUGGGGAGCUGUACGUAAGCGUUGAUCCAGAGAUUUCCGAAUGGGGGAACCCACUAUCUUUAGUCGGAUAGUAUCCUUACGUGAAUACAUAGCGUGAGGAAGGCAGACCCAGGGAACUGAAACAUCUAAGUACCUGGAGGAAGAGAAAGAAAAAUCGAUUUCCUGAGUAGCGGCGAGCGAAACGGAAAGAGCCCAAACCAAGAAGCUUGCUUCUUGGGGUUGUAGGACACUCUAUACGGAGUUACAAAAGAAAGUUAUAAAUGAAGCGGUCUGGAAAGGCCCGCCAAAGACGGUAACAGCCCGGUAGUUGAAAUGGCUUUCCCUCCAGAGUGGAUCCUGAGUACGGCGGAACACGUGAAAUUCCGUCGGAAUCCGGGAGGACCAUCUCCCAAGGCUAAAUACUCCCUAGUGACCGAUAGUGAACCAGUACCGUGAGGGAAAGGUGAAAAGCACCCCGGAAGGGGAGUGAAACAGUUCCUGAAACCGUGUGCCUACAAGUAGUUAGAGCCCGUUAAUGGGUGAUAGCGUGCCUUUUGUAGAAUGAACCGGCGAGUUACGAUUUGUUGCAAGGUUAAGCGGAAAAAGCGGAGCCGUAGCGAAAGCGAGUCUGAAUAGGGCGCAUAAGUAACAGGUCGUAGACCCGAAACCAGGUGAUCUACCCAUGUCCAGGAUGAAGGUAAGGUAAUACUUACUGGAGGUCCGAACCCACGCACGUUGAAAAGUGCGGGGAUGAGGUGUGGGUAGCGGAGAAAUUCCAAUCGAACUUGGAGAUAGCUGGUUCUCUCCGAAAUAGCUUUAGGGCUAGCCUCGAGGUAAAGAGUCAUGGAGGUAGAGCACUGUUUGGACUAGGGGCCCUUCUCGGGUUACCGAAUUCAGAUAAACUCCGAAUGCCAUGUACUUAUACUCGGGAGUCAGACUGCGAGUGAUAAGAUCCGUAGUCGAAAGGGAAACAGCCCAGACCACCAGUUAAGGUCCCCAAAUAUAUGUUAAGUGGAAAAGGAUGUGGGGUUGCUUAGACAACCAGGAUGUUGGCUUAGAAGCAGCCACCAUUGAAAGAGUGCGUAAUAGCUCACUGGUCGAGUGACCCCGCGCCGAAAAUGUACCGGGGCUAAACAUAUUACCGAAACUGUGGAUGAACCUCUUUAGAGGUUCGUGGUAGGAGAGCGUUCUAAGGGCGGUGAAGUCAGACCGGAAGGACUGGUGGAGCGCUUAGAAGUGAGAAUGCCGGUAUGAGUAGCGAAAGAAGGGUGAGAAUCCCUUCCACCGAAUAUCUAAGGUUUCCUGAGGAAGGCUCGUCCGCUCAGGGUUAGUCGGGACCUAAGCCGAGGCCGAUAGGCGUAGGCGAUGGACAACAGGUAGAGAUUCCUGUACCAGUGCUAAUUGUUUAACCGAUGGGGUGACACAGAAGGAUAGGGAAUCGCACGAAUGGAAAUGUGCGUCCAAGCAGUGAGUGUGAGAAGUAGGCAAAUCCGCUUCUCGCGAAGCAUGAGCUGUGAUGGGGAAGGAAAUUAAGUACGGAAGUUCCUGAUUUCACGCUGUCAAGAAAAGCCUCUAGGAAGAGUAGUACUGCCCGUACCGCAAACCGACACAGGUAGAUGAGGAGAGAAUCCUAAGGUGAGCGAGAGAACUCUCGUUAAGGAACUCGGCAAAAUGACCCCGUA